rnacentral:pre_miRNA from 1 species
UAUAUACUCCCUCCGUCCGGAAAUACUUGUCAUCAAAAUGAAUAAAAGAGGAUGUAUCUAGAUGUAUUUUAGUUCUAGAUACAUCUCUUUUUGUUCAUUUUGAUGACAAGUAUUUUCGGACAGAGGGAGUAUUAG